rnacentral:lncRNA from 1 species
UCUUGGAGUACUUGUGGUUUAGAUCAAUAGGUCACCCUCCGGCACCACGUCAACCAAUGAGAUGACUACCGAAGUGUUAAAUACGGAGGCACGUGGAGAAAGCCCUUCCUCGCUUCAGGCUCAGGAAUGCCUUAGAGAGAUUAUCAGUUAUGACAUCACUCUGGGAACCACCUAUCUCACCACCAGCUUUGGACCUGGUCCACGUAAGAAACACUGCUCGUGUCCAAAGCUUUUCUACACACUUGAAAAGUAAUCACAGUAAAACGUUAGCAACAAUAUGAUUUCCAUCCUGGAUUACUGAUAUUGCAGAAAGAAGAUAGUUAUACAAGGGUGGCACUGAACACACAAGAAACAAAUGAUUCACGGUAGCAUUAGAGGCACCAGCAAAGGACACACUUUUAGAGAAAGGAAUCUGCUCCCCUGUGGCUCUCCAAAUCACACUCCUUAGGCACCACAUCUACAGGGAAGACCCAGGUAGAGACUGUGAGGAUCUCAAUGGCCUGGUGGGCCACAAGAUCACUUCUGCUUCCGGCUGGAAUGCUCCUUCUCCACAGAGUCCGGAAACUGACAUAUGCAGCCACCCACCCAGAAGGACAUGUCCAAGAAGGAAUGGAAAGAAAAAUGAUGGCCCAGAUGUUCUGUAGCUUGCAGUGACUGCCAAUUCACCACAGACCCCAGUACCUGGGAGGGCAAGGCAGCAUCAGGCUCUUGCUUCCUGGUUUCAGGCAGCCAGGGCCCUGAUGGUGGGUGGCAACUCUGACAGAAUGCAGACUGGCCAGGGGAGAAACCUUUAGAAGGGCACUGGCUGACGGGACUUGGGGGUUGAACACACAGCGCUGAUUUAUCACUUCCUUACUCAUAAAAAUGUGAUUCGAACUGCUGCUGAUUAGUGAAGGAUUUCAAUCUUUACCCUCUCCCCAACCCCCCUCCUUCUC